UCUCCAACAACUAAUAAUAUGUUUAUCCCAAUAUGAUUGCCAGCUAUUAGAUAUGCUGCUGUAUAACAUUUUGAAGAGCAUGUCUACACUAACAUGUACAAAAAAAUUACCAUUGAUUGAUCAAUAUGCCAACUGAUUGAUAGUGAUACUAGCAAAUGCUAAUAUAUUAGUAUCUAUUAGUCUCUAAUAAGCAAUAAUAUUUGUUUUACUCAGCUGUUUGCAAGUCUUCUUUAUACAUGUUUACAAGAAGCAUGUCAGUAUAACAUAUACAUAAAAGUUUGUUUUACAAAGAAAUUACCAUUGAUUGAUCAAUAUGCCAAAUGAUUGAUAGUGAUACUAGCAAAUGCCAAUAUAUUAGCAUCUAUUAGUCUCUAAUAAGCAAUAAUAUUUGUUUUACUCAGCUGUUUGCGAGUCUUCUUUAUACAUAUUUACAAGAAGCAUAUCAGUAUAACAUAUACAUAAAAGUUUGUUUCUGAUUGUUAUACACAAAGAGAGACAAAAAUACCACCUCUAAAGUAAAACAGGGUUUACAGGUACAUUUCCCAGCAAAAAGUUAGUAACAAGCUUCCACAACAGAUUGCACUGUAUUUACGUGUUGCUACAGCUUAAUGCCAGUAAGUAUUGUAACAUCAAAAUGUUAACAUUCAUUGUACUGCAUGUAAAAGUAAUAUUACUAACAUGUGCCACUUGUUAGUCAGACAGAAAUUUCAUAAUAUUGCUGUUACCAUAUUUCAGCAUGUAGAUUUACUCUCCAGGUAUGCAUUCUUAGUUAAAAUAUUCAGAGCCAAAUAAGUGGGCAUCUCAGUCAACUACUAAUCCAUCAUGAUCUUAUACACAACCCUUGUUGGCUACAAGUAUAUCAUGGCUGGAAUUCUCACCAAGCCAAAUCAUCGUCUAAUAAAAUGUGCUGUUCCAUUAUUCAAAAAACAGGAAAAGAAAAAGAAAAGAAAUGAGGGCAUAAACAAGCAGCGCAAUACAGUUUCUCCAUAUGCAAAUCAGCACAGCGAAAUGCCGCACUAAAUACAAUAUGGUCUUUAUGGGCCUGAACAUAUCAUUCUACAAAAUUUAUGAUCUACCUUUGCACGAAGAUAACAGCAUUUACGAUUCUUUUGUCAGAUGACGGAGAAAAAGCCCAUACCUUGGGAACCAUGAUCACCUUCACCGCAUCUGCGAGCUCUUCCACACCCUUGCGCAUCAAAGCACUAGCCUCGACUCCAAAUUCGAUUUCCUUUGCUCCGUAAUUUCUGCCCCAGCCAAUCCUGCUGCGAAUCCAUAAAUGCAUCUAUAAGCAUUUAAAAUACAUCAACUAUUAUUUAAAAGAAAGCCAAAAAAUUCUACCAUCAAGAAUGCCCUCCCAAAAUGGAUCAUCGAUCCAAUGAUUAUUUUUUCCUCCCUUACUACCUUUUUAUCUGGACGCCAAAGAGUUACCUCAAAAAACGUGCCUAAAAAAAGGAAGAUUGCAUUACAAAAAUCAAGAACCCAUUUCCAUAAAUCAGAAAGUUGGGAAACGAAGCAGUUUUCAAUUGAACAUCAAUUUCUGCCAUGUUUGAUCCCAAAGGAGGAUUUGAUCACAAAAAUCAAGAACCGAUUUUACAAGCAUCUUCAAGAAAACCAACAGGUCCCAUCAAACAACUAAAAACUAAAAUCCAUCAGAAGAAACGAAUACGAAUUCUCAACUGUCGCCCACUGGUGCCGGCAACCCCACAAAAGAAACCCAACAAGAACGGAGGCAUCAUCUGCGAUCGGCGGCAGAGAAAAGCGAAAGAUCGAAAGAACCAACAAACAAUCAAAACGGAAGCAAAGCAGCGCCCAUACUACAAACACCUAGCGCCAGAGAGAACCUAAGAAGGAUCCACAUUUCUUGGUUUUUUGCCAUUUCUACCGCCAUCUUACCGGGCUUUAGAGGCGCGGCUGGCCGCAGCUCAGUACACGGUCGCAUGCAAACGAGGGCAUCAGAUGGGAUCGGAGGAGAGGAGAGUGGUGUUAGGGUUUCUGGAGGUUGCUAGAUUUCGGCGAUGGGAGAAGGGGGCAGAGAGUUCGGCAUACGUUUGAAAACAAGGGGCAAAGUUGGGCGGGAGGAGGGACGGAGGGACGGAGGUUCCAGAGACUUCUAAGGCUUAGCGGUUUUGGGUUCGUGGAACGGCGACUAGACUAGCGGGGAUCACAUUAAUGAUGAGCCAGCUACGAUGGACGGCCGCGCGGCGAACUCAAAUUCUGGGUGCUCUACGGAACAGUGGACCGUCGAAAAAGACGCGAGCCAGACCUGACCCAGGAACGUUCCGGUUACAUCCUUUGCGCUAAAAAAUUAUUGAUCUUUUUUGCUUCGCCAAUCAUUAGGUCGUAUAUUAUACAAAAUUCAAAGCACCUCAAUUUUUUUAUUUCAUUCAAUUUUAUAAAUUUUAAAAUGAUCAUCAAAUAAUUCAAUGGUUAACAUCCUGAGAAAAGAUAUAUCAUCCUUUCAAGACACGCCAGCAUAUUUGGCACCGCAAAACACUAAAUAGCACUUAAUAUCUAAAAGAUAGAUGAUCAUCAACAGCAGCACACCCAUACAUGACAUGUAAUUACAACCAUCCUGAUUAAUAACCAUUCGCCAUUGUGAUUAGAUAAAUGAUAAAUCACUCUUUGCACUAAAAAAUUAUUGAUCUUCUUUCGCUUCAUCGACCAUUGGAUCGUAUAUUAUAUAAAACUCUAAACAUUUCAAUUUUUUUCUUUCAUCCAAUUUUAUAAAUUUUAAAAUAAUUAUUAUAUAAUUUAAUAAUUAACAUCUUGAGAAAAGAUAAAUCAUUCUUAAAAAGUACAUCCAAAUUUUUUGCACCAUAAAAUAGUAAACAGCACUUAACAAAGGAUAGUUAUCAACAGCAACACACCCAUACAUGGCAUGUAAUUACAACCAUCCUGAUUAAUAACCAUUCGCCAUUGUGAUUAGAUAAAUGAUAGUUAUUGUUGAUCGAACAUCACUUUAUUGUGCAAACCGCACACCAUAAAAAAUUUAUAUUUGAUCGGAUCUAAUAUAGACAGGUCGAAUCAAAUAGAGUAUCUUUUUGGAAAAAGAAUCCGCCUAAGUUUUUGAACCUAAAGAUAUUGAAAUCCUACAAUUAUUUUGUAACCUAAGUUCCUAUCUUCUUGCAUUAGACCCUUUGCUAAUGUUUAACAUGUGUUUAAGGAUAAGCUAAACAUGAAAGGUUGAUAUAUAGUUUGAAUAUAAGGGUUGUUCUUGCAUUGAGAUAUCAGACCCUGCUGUGAUGCCACAAUCCAUCCAUCUAUCAGUCCAUCUCUCUCUUUCGUCCUCCCAGCCUCCAAUUAGGCAAAAGAAAGGAAAAAAAAUCAAGAAGGGGAGUGCGUUUAUUAUCUAACAUGAAACUAUCUUGAAUCUUAAAAACACAUUGAUCCACGUUGUUCAUCCUCGUGCUUCAUGUCCAUAGUUCCAGUAAUAUUAAUGCACACAAUAUUUGCAGCAUACGCUCUUACAUAAAAUUUGACAUGUGUGCUUAACAUGUGUAAUGCAAAUGAUUCCCAGAUUUGGUUUAUUUGCCACGAACAAUUCGGACAAAAUCAUGCUUCCUUCAUAAUAGAAUUCUUAGUGGACUUACGGGCACCAUAUUUCAUGAAGGCACGUUCGUGUCUUAGUUUUCAAAUGGUGACCUCUAUGUCAAGAUUAAAAUCCAAUCAAACAAUCAUAUAAUAUAAAAAACAAAGCAAGCAUCGACAGGACCAACUUCUGUGAGCCGUCCAAGCGAGGAUCGAGCCUUUUAUUAAGGAAAACAAAUCUCUCUCUUCUUUCCCAAUUCCCACCCCCAAACGCAUUCAAAGAUGUUAUUCAUGGUCGGGCCCUAACCACUUGGGCCGGCCCUUAAAGACAAGUUCUAGGCCAAUCUCUUUCCGCACCCACAAACGCCUAUAAAGCUUCUCAAUUGAUCACGGACGUACCGUCGUUGGCGAUGUUCCUUUCCCAGUCGGUGCCCUCUGGUGGCUGGAAAUAAUAAUUACGUUGUGAGAGAGAAACAUUUCAACUUUUUUAUUCAUGGCGAAGUUAUCGCCUAUGUGCCCAGACUUCCAAAGCAAGAAAAAGCAUUCCAAUAUUGUUUGAAACGAAGUAGGGUGAGAGCGAAUUUCCAUGUAAGUUUGCAGUUAGUUGUUCGUCAUGAAUGUAAAAGGAUUAUUAUGUUCGAUUACCAUUGCAAGAUUUAGAUCCAUUUAUGUUUUCUGCUUUCUAUGCCUUAAGCAAAACUAAGCCAACAUGUUUAAGAAAACAACUUUUUGCAGCAUCAAGUUAAUUCUCAAAAGCCAUCUUUAACAUGAAAAUUUUAUCAUAUUUGUAAGUGAAAUGAAGAUUUUGUCAUGGACCCAUGGAUCUAUAACAAUUACGAGUCCUCAUCAUAUUUAACUUCCCUCAUAACAUCACAGAAGUUGGUGAUCCAUAGAGCGUUACAAUGCUUUCAAGCAAGCACAAGAACCGUACAGAUUUUGAUGUUUAAGUUGCAAGCAAGAUUUUUAUUUCUGAUCUUUAUUAUAGCUCAAAUACUUCGACGGGAUUAUAAGAUUAAAGUAGACUAUUAAACUAGCAGUAGAUGGUUGUCUCAUUUUGUCGCACCAACAUCGUACGGUUGUUUGAGGAGUGGUGUGAUAAUUGUUGAGUGGCUGGAAAAUAUAGUCUGAGGUAGCUGAUCUUUUCUUCUUCUUUUUUUUUUCUUUUUCUUUUUCUUUUUCUUUUUUUUCUUUUUUGUUUUUUUGACAAAGAGGUAGCUGAUCUGAGUUACUGCUACAGGCUUUACAUCCACCUCCCCUUUAUAUUUCUCAUUCUGAAGAAACAAAUGUAAGGUUGUGAUAACUUCAACUUUUGUGUCGCCAUUCAUUAUGUUCAACCUAGCCCCCCAUAGUCAGCAAAAGGUUCUCUUUUCUGGUAGUACGUGAAUCAUUUGAUUGAUGAACUUUAACUGGAGAGGGUUAUUCAUCUUCAGAAAUUUCAAAGCUAAAGGGCAAAAAAAAAAAAAGGAGGAAUAUGACUACAUUAAUUAAAAGAAAAGAAAAGAAAAGAAAGAAGGGUCUGACUUCUUUUAUUUCAGUGAAUGCAAUAUGAGUAGCACAGUUGUGAAGACACCUUUCAAAAUGAAGAUCACUCGGCAGCAGAAAGUGAUAUAAGAAGAUUAUUUGCAAAUGCUGGUGAAAGGAGUUUUGAAAGAGAAGGAAAAUUGGCUUUUAAAGAACGAGAGAACCCGCCCAAAAUUGACCUGCUUAUGUGCUUUCAAUAUGCUUGUUCUUUAGCUUCCUGAUAAUGAUAUGCACGGUUCCAUCACUCUCAACAGUUAAAGCCAUGGCUUGAUCUUGAAUGCUAUUUCGUGCUAAUUGUUAACAAUUAUGUUCGCCAUCAAGAGAUUUAGCAUCAAAAGUGUGGGGUUCAAACCGCCAACCGGUAUACAGUCACAUGUGAUUUGGAUUUCUUCACCAUCAUGUGAUGGAAACCUAACUGACAGAGAUAUUAUGUGAUGGAAACCUAACUGACAGAGAUAUUAUGUCUCUAACAAUCAAAACAGAGUUAGAUUUUGUUGGAUCUCCAAAUGAUCCUUUAAGUAUGCACGGUCGGUAUUUAUAGCAAUGAAGCAUGCAUGGUUUGCAUCAGUUGUACCAGUUUGCAUCAGUUGUACAAUUUUGCAGUCAGCUAUCAAACCAAGCUUCCAAACUUAAUGCAUAUAAUUUGGAGAUGUCAUCAUCCAUCUGGAAAACAUAGAGUACAAUCAUAAUCAGCGUGGGACGCUGUCGCAUUCUGCAUUGGAUUUCUUCGGACCAAAAAUACAAACAAAAUGAAACAUCAUUAUUUCAAAUAAGCAAUGGUGGGAUCAGCAUUUGUGGAUUCCAUGGCCAGGAUUGGAUUUUUCAGUACAAGUACAAGCAUGCCAACACAGCCAUUUGGUCUAGAGGGGAUUCACACUCGAUCUUUGAUGGUUUUUGAUCACAGACCAGGCUUCGCAAGUGACUUUGCAACAAGAUGCCAUGGUACUUCAGACUUCGGCGUGGUCUGAAUAGAAGAGCAAAUACCUCUGUACUUGCUGAGCUACACGAGGCUCUGGUGAAAGACAGGGUGGAUGAAAGGCAGGCUGUGGUUGCUGAAAAAUUCACCAAGGACUGAGAUUCUACUCUGAUAGAAAACAUAACAAUUCAAUAGCCGGUAAAGUGGGUAUGGAUUUUAUUAUAUCAGGACAUUUGGGUGGUGGGUUAUUGCGUGCCUUUCACAUUCAGAAGAAACUUGAAUCCCUGGAAUGCAUGUGGUUCCGUUUUAUUCAAAGAAGUGGAAACAAAAUUACUAUGUUACCAGCUAUACUGAUGGUCACAUCAUUAUCAACUUCAUAAUGCUAGUAGUAGUUGCCAUAGUAGAAGCGGCGGUGCCGGUGGUGGUGAUUAAGAUGGUUGUGAGGAUCAAAACAAUAAUCAAGGUCAAUAUGGAGUUACGGUCCACAUCCCAAUUGGCCACUAUGGAACAGUUUCUGAAAUCGAUAUGCUUCACAGGAAAGAUGGUUCUUUGUGAAGUAUUUGUUACCAAAGAGCUCUGAGAGUUUGUGUUAAUGUUUAAACACCAGGUAGAGAAGCGCACAGAUAUUCUUGAGAGUGAUUCAGCUACUCCCUUUUAAACAAUGAGCCCCACAUAUUUAUGUGCUUCACAUGGAUAUGAGCUUGCAGCUCCGGCAUCCCUUGCCGACACCCUCAUAAAUUAUAUAGGAAAGAAGUUGGUAGCCUCUCCCUCCUUGACUCACCAAAGAAGUGAAAAUUAGUGAAAAUAAAGCUGAUUAAGGUCGCAUUUCCCUGACAUAACAUUGAGCGCCGACAAAUUGAACAAAGAUACAAAAGAAACAAAAUAAUGAAAGGAUGAUACCCUUUUGAAUGUCAAAAAUUUUAAGUAUAUCUUUAUGAUCAUUCUAUUAGGAUAUACAUAAAGUAAUAUCAUCUUAUUCAUAGCACCAAUACAAGCACUUGUGGCCGCUUAAAUUCUCCAAACCGUGCCCCAUAUAAAAUAUGCAUAUAAAAUGGCUAUAAAAAUCUUGAACACCUUGCCUUUGCCAUCCACAGACUGAUUUUGUUAGAUUAAUCAACAAUUAAAAUUUGAUCUUGUGAUUUAUAUCUUUAGAAACUUAUCGAUCCACCAGAAAGCCCAUAGCAUAUACUAAGUGGGAUAAACCUGUCGAUAAUACUGUAGUCAACCAGAAGAAACUGUAUAUCUAUAAAAACAUUCCUAUCACCUUAAUUAGAUGAGAUGUUGUCUACUGGACGUAUGCCACUGUUAAGCAACUCUCCAACAAUAAUGCACUAGAAUUUGCAUGCAAUAAAGAGCUCCUCUUUAAGAGCCGCAUUUCAGGUUUAAUUUUUUCAGGAUGACAACAACACUUGGAUUCCCUUCCAAAAAAAAAAACACUAGGAUGCAUAAUUGGGUGUGGAUUAGAAUUUCAAUGUCAUUAACCUCAUUGUCAUACUGUUGUUAUCAAGAUCCUAGGAUACCCAUUAAAUGGUAUUGCAACACUACUCUUUUCGCAAGAACAAAAUUUAGAAGAAACGCAUUUAUGAGGACCACAACUCAGGGCAGUUGAUAGAUGCCGCUUCAUCCCUUGCUGUCACAAGAAAGAAACGAGCUCCAUAUCAUUUUGGAAUUAUGGACCUUCACCAACUAUAUUGACUGUACAGUGUACACAAGAGACCCCAAGUCCUCCAGCACAAACUGUUGUGGCAUGGCUAGCAAAUAGUUUCUCAUUUGCUUUUGUGGUCCCUGUGGCGAUUCAUCGCGCAACUUGAAUAGGUGGAAAAGAAGGUGGUAUAUCUCACCAUGAACACUAUAUAAAGCCAUCUUCCAUGGCCUUCAGGUCCAUAGCCCUCCACUCCAAACUCUUCUAACACAACUCAUUUCAUGAAGAUGAAUGCCUCUCCUUCUGUCUUCUUCUCUCUGAUUGCUGGCCUGGUAGUUCUUGGAACUCUUCCAGUCUCCUCGGAGGCAGCUCGUGCCUUCUUUGUUUUUGGAGAUUCUCUUGUUGACAACGGCAACAACAACUAUCUAGCAACCACAGCUCGAGCCGAUCGACCUCCUUAUGGCAUUGACUACCCAACUCACCAAGCAACCGGCCGCUUCUCCAAUGGGCUCAACCUCCCUGACAUAAUAAGUUAGGUGUUCGUUUCAUGAGGCAUUCAUCAAAGCUAACCAACUUGCACUGUGUCCAGAAUUUUGAAGUAUCUCCUCCCUUUUUCUGUUUUUCUUCUGCUUCUCAAGCAUGUGACUUCGGUUGGUCCUUCUGGCUCUCAUUUCCACUAAAAAAAAAAAAAGUAUCAGUAGGUAUUCUUUCUAGGAUCUAAGCAAAUUAAUUAAUCACCUUAUGUCUCAUGGUUCUCCUACUGCUUUUUCUUUCUUAAAUUAUAUGAGUUUUUAAGUUCCUUGUAUUUUCUUGUUAACCUACAAUUUGAACAUGUUUCAGGUGAAAAUCUUGGAGCUGAACCCACAUUGCCAUACUUGAGCCCUGAGCUCCGAGGAGAAAAGCUACUUGUGGGUGCCAACUUUGCAUCAGCAGGCAUCGGUAUUCUCAACGAUACUGGAAUCCAAUUUGUAAGUGCAAUCUUGCAUGGUUUGUUUGAUUGCAAUCCAUUCGAUGACUAAUUUGAAUAACAUUAAUUUGUAGGUGAACAUAAUUAGGAUACGGAAGCAAGUGCAAUACUUCCAGCAGUACCAACAAAGAUUGAGCUCCCUGAUAGGUUCAGCACAAGCACGGCGUCUUGUGAACCAAGCGCUCGUUCUGAUUACCCUGGGGGGCAACGAUUUCGUUAACAACUACUACUUGGUGCCUUAUUCUGCAAGAUCUAGAGAGUUCUCCUUGCCUGAUUACGUUACCUAUUUGAUCUCCGAAUACAAGCAGAUACUUGCAGUAUGUUUCAUAUCAAGCUCUAGUCUUUCAUUUCAGAUAAAUUAUUUUUAUAAAAAAUAAAAAAAUAAAAAUAGCAAAUAAGAAGAUAAUUUUGUUUCUCUCUUUUCCUAUCUUUAUACCAGUUACAUUUCAUUGAGUAAUGGUUUCCAUGGCUCGACCACCAUUUUGCUUAUAUAUGUAGCGAAAACCAAUAACUUUUCUUGAACUUCUCUUUCUUUCUACAUUACCCUCUUAGAUUGUUUUAUGGCCAGGGACUUUGUAGGACUAUGUCUCGCUCUCACGGACAUUUUGAGCUCUUAAGAGCAUCUGUCAUGCAAAUACUUCACUUUGCAGUGACGUAAAAUUUUAAGUAGCAUUGCGACAGUGUCCUCUGACUCAUCGGCAAGUUGUUGCACUAUAGCCUAUUUUUCCUUGAACAGAAUAAUUCUAACAAAUCAAGCACAGAUUAUUCAAUUACUCACAAAAUAUUCAUAAAUUGUUCUUGGCUAUUUCAAAAAAUCUUUGCACAUGGUGGUGAACUUUUAUUGGUAAUCUUUCAUGCUUGAUUUUUUCCUUGAUAUUUAGCUAUCUGAAAUCUGUGCAUAACUUUUGGUCUUUCGCAUAUUUUCUGAGUUACAUAUCUUCAUGUUCCCAAACAGGAAACUGGCAACUAUGGCCAGUAGUGCGUACGAGGUAAAUUUUUCCUGCUUCAUUGCUGCUAGGAUGAAAGACCACUUUCCCGUCAUGUUAUUCAAGGAAUGGCUGGGACACAAUAUACUUCGUGUCCCAGUCUUUAAUUGAGUUUAUGAUGGAGUGGUGCAUUGGUAUAUCACAUGGCCUGCAAGCCAUGGAAAAACAAUCGAACUGCUUACAUCAUCCCUGGCAUUGGAUCCAUCUCUUGUUAGCCCUUUAAUUUCGGACAUGCAAAAAAAAAAAAACAAACACCAAAGUGUUUGAUCCGGAGAAAUGAUUCUUGGAAUCUAACGGUUGCAGAGCCUGUAUGAAUUGGGAGCCCGUCGGGUCCUGGUCACUGGGACGGGGCCCCUUGGUUGCGUCCCAGCAGAGCUUGCAUUGAGGAGCACUACUGGCCGAUGCGACCCUGAGCUUAAUCGAGCCUCGGACCUCUUCAAUCCCCAGCUGAUCCAGGCACUGACGGAGAUCAACAGCCAGAUUGGCUCGGACGUUUUCGUCGCAGUGAAUUCCCGCAAGAUGCACUCGGACUUCAUAUCCAACCCACAAGCAUACGGUAACAAUUACCAUCGGAGAUAACCUUAUCUUGAUGUUACCUUCCAAAUAUGCCCUACACCAAGGCAGGGUCGAUAAAGUUCUCUCAGGUCGGGCAUGGCCUUUUACCGUGCGGGACAAACUCAAUCACCUUCAAUCUCACCAAAGUUUAUGUUAUGUUGCGGAUGUCUACUGGUAGCCAAAAAUAGUAUGGUUAAUAUGAUGACUAGGUGGACCAUCCCAUUCUACCCUCUGAAAGAGAGGGGCUUGAUAUGGAGCAUAGAUGACUAGGGGACCCGAAGGAAUACAUUACAUACAUUUUCUGGUAGCUAAAUAGAAGUGGUAAAACAAAGGCUCUAACAGAUUAUCUUGGGCAGGUUUUGCUACAUCAAAGAUCGCAUGCUGCGGUCAAGGACCUUAUAACGGCAUCGGACUCUGCACACCCUUGUCCAGUGUGUGCCCGAACCGGAACCUCUAUGCAUUCUGGGACCAAUACCAUCCAACGGAGAAAGCCAACCGGAUCAUUGUAAGCCAGUUCAUGACUGGAUCAACCGAGUACAUGAACCCCAUGAACUUGAGCACCAUCCUGGCCAUGGAUGCACGAUCCUAAGCCGGGGUGAGCUUGCAUGCUGCCAUCUUCUUGCCUUUCCAGCAAAUUUCUACGUCCAGGGUAAUUAAGAUUUCGUCUACAAGUGUCAUAUGUGAGUGGGAGUUUCAGGGUCAUGUACAUGCUGGUUAGAAUUUCAUAAUGUUUGUAAUUGAAUUUAUAAAAACGCCUAUGUUGCGUUUGUUCUCCUACAUAACUAGGAAUGAUCGGUGUAUUGUAAUUUCAGGGGGCUCGCGAAAGCCUCUGAUGUCUCUAGUCGGUUAAGAGUUUUGUAUUCGGUUUUCGGAUAUGAAAAUGAUCUUCAAUGUCAGUAUCCCAGAAGCAAAUAACGGUGAUGGCUACCAGAUUCUGGUAAAACCGAAUUACGAAUGUCGAUAAAGAAACUUACGAAUAUAGAAACAAACUUACAUUCACAGGAACAAGCAAGAAGAUUUUAAUGGCCUAAAAGACGAGAACUAGAGCGCCAUAUCAAAAACGACGUCCAGCUAUCAUGCCAAUGACGCUCAAGCCUAAUCUUGAGGGGGGUAAUUAUGUUUCGUAGGAAGUGGCCACUAAGAGGGGCAUCUGAUGCUGUGUCCAAAAGAUACAAAUGCAUUUUCACAAACCAAAUCUUCCAAGUAUAGGACUUUGACAUCGGACUACUAAGGACGAGAUUUUCGUCCACUAAGUAAAUCAGUAAUACCUGCUUCAAACCACUAUCUUGGUGAGUUUCAACUAAUUAGAAGACCUAAGUGAGACAUGCCGUAAUAAUAACCACCAUCUCGCAACCCAGAGUCGAAAGAGGUGCCGUUGAGAUGAGACCUUCCCUCAAAUCUGAUCGUUAAUCAGGCAGAGAGCGGUAGAUAAUGGCUGUUCAAAUCAAUCCAUCAGCCACAUACCUUCCCCCUUAUAUACUCGCCAACCCCUACAUAGAGAAUGCAAACGGGUUGUGAAGGUUGGAACCUGUAAUACCGCCACCGAACGAAAAAUAACCGCAAGAAGUUAAUUAAUUUAAGAUGCGUUUGAUUAGCCACUAAAAAAAUAAUUUUUUAUUUUUAAUUUUUAAAAAAUAAAAAUUAAAAAUAAUAUUUAAUAAUAUCAUAAAAAAUAAUAAUCAAAAUAAUUAUUUUAUAUACAAAAUAAAAAAAUUUUACUUUUCAAAACUUACUUUUCUUUUCUUUUCUUUUUUUUUUUUUACUUCUUCACAUCUAAAACAUCAAAUCAAAAAUAAAAAACCUAAACCCUUCUUCUUCAUCGAACUCUUUAUCUUCUCAAACCCUUUUUUCUUUCUUCUCGAACUUUUCUUUCUCAUCAAACUCUUCACCUGUCAUUGUCAUCUCUAAAUGAUACUUUUUUAUUUUAUAACAACGUAGUUAUCAAAUAUAUUUUUUAUUUUUAUUAAAUAAUAUAAAUUAAAAAAUUAAAAAAUAUUUUUUAAAAAUUAAAAAUUAAAACCAACCGCACCCUUAGUAAUUUCAAACGUCCACGGAAACUUUUUUGAAAAAAACCAAACGAAAGAACCGUAACAGAUGGCAUAUAAAAACUUAAAAUUUCCAAUUGGGCAUAGAUCUGUUAGAUGUACGGACGAAGAAAAGAUGAAUCAACCCUUUUAAAAGUCCCCUUAUCACAGAAAGGGAGGUAGUUACAAUUAUAAUUCGUUUAUAAAGUGCACGACCAAAAGGACUCAAAUCGGACACAUCUAAAAUACUGACCGGAUAGGAGGAAGCUCUCAUACAAUUUCUUAUACAUCCUUAAAUACUCAAGACCUAAAAAUUGGUACGUCUUCAAAAUUAAUGACCUCUAAUUCUGAAUACCGUUCC
rnacentral:lncRNA from 1 species